AACGAACGCUGGCGGCAGGCCUAACACAUGCAAGUCGAGCGGACCCUUCGGGGUUAGCGGCGGACGGGUGAGUAACGCGUGGGAAUAUGCCCUUCUCUACGGAAUAGUCCUGGGAAACUGGGGGUAAUACCGUAUACGCCCUUUGGGGGAAAGAUUUAUCGGGGAAGGAUUAGCCCGCGUUGGAUUAGGUAGUUGGUGGGGUAAUGGCCUACCAAGCCGACGAUCCAUAGCUGGUUUGAGAGGAUGAUCAGCCACAUUGGGACUGAGACACGGCCCAGACUCCUACGGGAGGCAGCAGUGGGGAAUCUUAGACAAUGGGGGCAACCCUGAUCUAGCCAUGCCGCGUGAGUGAUGAAGGCCUUAGGGUUGUAAAGCUCUUUCAGCUGGGAAGAUAAUGACGGUACCAGCAGAAGAAGCCCCGGCUAACUCCGUG
rnacentral:rRNA from 1 species